rnacentral:lncRNA from 1 species
GCCCCACAGAACUGGCUUUACCCUGAAGUUCUGUUUGGAACCAUAAACCAAGACAAUGGAAAUAGAAUGAGUGUCAUGAAGCCUCUCACAGACUCCUGGAGCCUCAGCCAAGAUCUCCAUCAAAGCUGCUAGCUCAUGAAGAAGAUCCACAAACACCAGUAGUAUUCUCAACUGAAAGUUGCAGGUGUAACAUGCACAAUCGACAUGCCCAGUAUUCACCAACUUACUGUACAAUACCAUCCUACCACCCUUACAUCAGUACCAUGGAGACGCCACCUGCCAAAUCAGAGGAAUCCAGUUGUUUCCAGAAGUUGCCCUUCUCUAAUAAGUGCAAAGAGACUCAUUCAUGUUCUGGAUACAGUCUUGGCAGACAAUCCCAUUGGAAAUUUUGUGAAAGCAAAGAAAUGGUUAAAACUCAACAAAACAUUAGCAGAACACACAGAGAGAAGGAUGUUGCUGCAAUUCCUUGAAGAAUUGAACCCUGUAAAAGAGAAGAUUUCUUCAUUUUUAUUUCAAAUAGUGUCACAUGCAUAAAUCAAUUUGUGGUCCCAUUUUUACAUUAUUAUUGAAAAUGAAUAAAAGAGUUACUUGGCUGUUCA